rnacentral:lncRNA from 1 species
GUUACUAAUGACAAUGGUUUAGUUGAAAGAUUAUAUGGUUUGGCACCUGUUUGCAAAUAUUUUGUUCAGAAUGAAGAUGGAGUAUCACUGUUUCCAAUCAUGCUUUUGAUUCAGGAUAAGGUCUUUAUGGAUAGCUGGUAAGUUGGUAAUAGAUGAACUCAUCACCAAAUAAUUCAUGGCUCCAACUAUGUAUAAAUCUUCUAUUUAUGUUGUGUUAGGUGUCAUUUGAAAGAUGCAGUUCUUGAAGGAGGAAUUCCAUUCAACAAGGCCCAUGGCAUGCAGGUGUUCGAGUACCCUGGAUUAAACCCAAGAUUCAAUCAAGUCUUCAACAGAGCAAUGUUCGAUCACACGACAAUAGUAAUGAAAAAAAUACUAGAGACAUACAAAGGUUUUGAGAACCACAAAGAGAUUAUCGAUGUGGGCGGUGGGGUUGGAACCACAAUUAGCUUAAUCACUGCUAAAUAUCCUACAAUUAAGGGUAUUAACUUUGAUUUGCCACACGUCAUAGAACAUGCACCAUCUUAUCCUGGUAUUGUAUUUUUGUUCAAUUUAAUUUAUAUAUGGUUAACCAUGAACAUUUAUUUGGCAUGGUGCAAGUCAUGUAAUUCUGACAUUUUUUUCCCAGGAGUGGAACAUGUUGGUGGAGAUAUGUUUGAAAGUGUUCCCAACGCUGAAGCCAUUUUCAUGAAGGUGAGGCAUCAUUUCAUAAAAAGCAUGAACUUAGUUAAUAGCAACAGUAGUAAAUAUGAACAUAUUAUAAACACAUUUUUAUUUCUUUUGCCGUGCAGUGGAUACUUCACGAUUGGAAUGACGAGAACAACGUAAAUUUAUUGAAGAAUUGUUACAAAGCAUUACCUGAUCAUGGAAAAGUUAUAGUAGUGGAGUUAGUUUUACCUGUUGCAGCUGAGAAUACUACUGCCGCGAAGAGCCUAGGCCAAACAGACCUUAUUAUGUUAUCGCAAAGUCCAGGAGGAAAAGAAAGAACCGAGGAAGAAUUUUUUACAUUAGCAAAACAAGCUGGCUUUGCUUCUGUAAAGACAGUGUGUUCAGUUUAUAGUUUUUCAGUGAUUGAGUUUUAUAAAAACAAGAAAUAAACAUAAUGUAAUUUCUUUUAUGAUUAAAUUGUUCUCUACUGUUAUUUCCGCCAAUUUUCAUGUCGUGUAACUUUAAUAAUUUUUAUACAUCAUCAUUUUCAUAUGAAGUCAGACAUUAAUUGUACAUUUACACAUCUUAGAUCUUACAAUUCUCCUUAAGGAUAUGAUCUUUAGAGGGAGUUGACAAAUAGGAUCAACAAACCAAAUGCUUACAGUAUGAUCCUAUUGUCCCCUGCAGAACAAAUACGAUCAACAAACCAAAUGAAGUACAAGAUCUUUAACCAUCCUGUUAGGCUGUAGGAACCUUUAGAACUCUUUCAUAUAUAUAAGAACAGAAUGGAGGAACCUUUAGAACUCAUUGCCUUUGGUUUUGUUCUUCAUAAAUGACGAUUUUAUUGAUUAGGCCAAAAGCAGGUUACAGAGAGGGCGUGUACAAAGAGAGUUUCACCAAAUGAAAUUAAAACCAAGGAAACAUGAUUACACUAGAAUUAGAGACGGUAUGGCACACUGACAUUAUCAGGGUUCCUGAUCAAUUUGUCAGUUAUCACAGCAAAUCUUUCCAUGGCAGAUUUGGGCAAAUAAACUGUUACAACAAUCCCAUCUUCACCUUUGUUGUUCUUUGAUGGUAGAAAGAAGCUGCCAGGGGGACCAUGUCCCGUCGGGCCACCAUACAGUGGUCUUCCCCACCCAAAGUCAAUGUCUUGGAAGCCUGCACGUGUUAAAUCAGACACGUAGUAGGUUCCUGCAAUAAUAAACUGGGGUCGUCCCUCUUUAACCAUUAGAUCUAUGGACGAUCUCAUAAACUCGUCAGUCACCUGUGUUUUUGCUGUUUUAAUCAACUGCAAUGAGUACCCUAACGGAUUGUCGCACAGUUUAUUGGCAGUUGUCGAUGCCACGAAAAACCCAACAGCAUUACCGUAGAAUCCAAGUGGCAAAGGUGGGUUGAAUUUUGAACGUGCAUCCACGAAACAUGCAAAGCGAACUUCCUCAUCAGGAUCAAGAUUGAGUGCAAUCGUUCGGCAUCUCCAAAGGCUUGCUGCAAGUAUAUCAAAUGUGGAGCACUUGGAAAGGUAAUGUGACACUUUAUUUCUUACGGCCGCUAUUUCUUUUAGACUAAAGAAGUAGGGGCGACGAACAAACUCGACCAUGUCAUCAAGGGGCCUGUCUUUUGUUUGGUGCAAUUCUUUGUACACAUGAUGUACGCAUGUUACUUCUGGUGGGUCUCGUGCAGUAAGAACUUCCCGUUCCCAUAUAGGCUGAACUGAUGGAACUAGUCCACCACGUGCAAACUCACUUACAGCUAUCAGGAAUUGUACCAUCCCAGUUCCAUCACACAUUGUGUGGUUUAGACGAAUGCCAAAGAUAAAUCCUCCACAUAUUAAACGAGUCACCUGCAAGGUUUAUUCAAGGAGUCAAGACCGUUAGCCCGCUUGGUUUUUUUAUUUCAUAUAAUAGUGAAGCUUUUCCAAGUUGAUGUUUGCGACAAAAUCAAAAGAACUACUCAGAUAGCUAGUAAGGUUUAUACCUGUAUCAACAACAAAGGGCAGUUAAGCAUACCAUCAGAGCCCGGGACAUCAUAGAUGAAAUCAUCUGAACCUGGGAAAGGUGGGUGAAAAACAUCACCAAAUUGUUCUAAACUCACAUUAGCAUUGGCUUCAAUGAACAUAACACCUUCGCCAGUGCAUUCAACUAUAAGCUUAUCAUUAGGACCUUCUUUAAGCCGACCUGCUAACGGGUAGUAAUAAACAAGUGUUUCCGCAAUUGCCUUUUUGAUAACUUUCACUGGAUCUCUGCCUAGCAUUCCUACAGCAUUCUGGUAAAAAAAAAUAAUUCCAAGUUGAAUCCGUAGACCCUUUUGAUCAUCAAGAUCUGAAAGGGUCUUGAAUUCAUAUGGUGUUGGCUUUGCAGGAGCAACUAAUACAGGCUCACUCCUAUCUACUUUGAAGACUAACGACGAUGUUGCCAUGGUCUGCCAAUAUAAUCAGUUACAAGUUUUGAGACCGAUCAAAAGCAAGUGUAUGAUAUGAUUGAAUGUUGAAGAAAAUGUUUAUAAAGAUGUAUAUGCCUCAGCUUAGCAAUUUGCUAUAACCAACAACAUUAAACCAGACCAGGCAUUGUUUUAAAAGAUGGUUGACAAAAUAUAUAGAUAAAGACAGCUGGAAGAGUUGACAAUGUAAAAUUUAUAGAAAUUGCACUAAAUUGUUCUCCAUCAUUUGGCACACAAGAUUCAUAUGCAUUCCUAUAUAAAAAUUCCUUUGGUACUUUUUAAUUCCAUGAGAUAAUUUCUUUUAGAAAGAAUUAAAUAAUUUGGUUACAAACAUGAGGAAUUACACAAAAGUAGAGGACAAGCGCACUACAAACUGCACUGCAAGUCCCUUCUGAAUCGUGAACCCUAUUAUCCUAAACAAGUUAGGGAACCCGUGCUACGCACCGGAGCAGGAGAAAGAGCUCCAAACCUCUAUAUUUUGAUUUCUCUAUCUUUUAUUAUUAUUACUUAUGAUUGAUUAAUUUAUGUUUGGCUAAUUUUUGUGCGUGUUUUUUUUUGGGGGGGUGAUUUAGGUUUUGGCCACCGUAAGUUUAUACUAAUUAGGUUUUGGAGUCUUUUUUCUUUGGUAAUUAGGCUUUGACGAUCAACCAAGUUGAACCAAACAACAAUUUAAAAUAGCUAAAAUACCCUUAUGAAAGUCACAUGUGUUGCACAUGAUUGUUCUUCCCUUCAACUCUUUCUUUUCUUCUCACUUGCCAUAACAAAUUCAUCAAAGCGUAAUUCAUGGAAUAAAAAGUCAAAUACAUAUACAGCAGAAUUUGAGCUUCAAUUGAUUAAAAGAGAAUAAGAAAUUGAAGUAGUUGAGUUUCAAUUAGGGUAACUAUUGUUUGUUGGAGUUCUAAUUUGGUAGAGUGAGAUUGAAGAGGUGAUGAUGAAGAAGAAGAGCAAAGAGAGGAAAGAGUUUGAGGAGAGUGAUGGAGGGAUUAUUGGUGUUAGUGGGCGCUGGUGGUGAGGAAUUGUUUUUUUAUUUUUAUUUUUUGGUUUGGUCGAAUUGUUUUCAAAAAAUAAUUUAUCUUUUUUAUCAUGUGCUUUUACAGGGGCAAUUUCUGGCAUUAAGAAAAUAAUUCCGGUUCAACCGGAUUGAACAUUGGAUGAAAUCCAUGACGUAUGUUCGACUUUGUCCCAUAUUACACAAGCUGGAAGGGUUUUCUUUUUUUUUUUUUUUUUAUUCUUCCCAUCACACAAGCUCCAAAAACAGAACGUGAUGAAAGGGUGAACAGAAACUCAUAAUGUUGCAUUCAUGGGCACAUUUUCUGGAAUUUUAAAAAGCUUUCUGGUUGUUGAAUGAUUCCAUAGACAUUAUACAUAUCCCUAAAAAUCUGUAAUAUGAUCCAAUGAAUUGAUGACUACUAUUUAAUAAAUAUUUUCAAGCUAAAAUAUAAUUAAAAAAAAAAUUGAAAUCCAAGACUUUCACUAAAUUAAAUUUCUAACAUUUAUUAUCUUUUUGUGGUAAAGAAUUAUUAUCUUCAUUCUCUAUUUCUCUCCCAUAUUACAGAUUUUUAGGGAUAUGUAUGACAAAAUCAAUAUUAGAUCUUAUUCAUAAUAUUCGUAGCUAAUUAUUUGGAUAUAUAAUUCAUAUAUUGACCAAUCAAAUUUUUAUUUUUAUUAUUGGUAAAAAAAAAAUUUAGCCAUACAUAUGUUUUCUACCUAAAACACAAGGUGGAGUUUUAAGUUUUAAACGAUAUAUACAUUUAAUAUAUAUAUAUAUAUAUACUAGACAUUUUUUAAAAUUUCGGGGUACGCGUACCCUUACACCCCCAUUGCUAUGGCCCUGUAUUAUUCUACUUGGGUAUGCUGAGAACAAUAAGGCUUAAAGAGUAUUCAACCUUCGUAGUCCAAAAUGAAAUUGCAACUCUCUUAAAUGAGAGAUUUUUCAAUCAUUUAGGUUCAUCGUAUGAUGAAAUAGGUUAUCUCCCAAUUGAAACGAACAGGGGCACAAAGGGCCAUUUGUCAUGAACAUGUUUUCACCGCGCCACAAUCAAUGCCUGUCUCUGGGGAAUAGGCGUCUCCUAGUUGACUGGCUCUAUGCCAGUAUAUAUUUCUUUUUCAAGGAAUAUAAUGUUGGACAUUGGAUGAAGUCCACGACGUAUUUUCGACUUGGUUAGAUUCAAUUCUAUAAUAUAUUUCAAUGUCAAUUGGGGUUUUUUUUUUAUUCUUCCCAUCACACAAGCUCCAAAAACAGAAGGUGAUGAAAGGGUGAUCACAUAUAAUUCCGCAUUCAUCGGCACAUUUUCUGGAAUUUUAAAAAGCUUUCUACUUGUUGAUGAUUCCAUUGAGGCAUAGACAUGAGUUGACUAAAAUUAUUUCAUCACUAAAAGAGUAACAUUUUCUUUUUCUAAUGGGCAGGUUUUUGCUGCUUUCCAGAGACUAAAAAAUGUUUACCAAUAUAGGGAGAAUGUUUCUAAGUUUGACAGAAAAGCAGAUAAGGGUAUUCUACUUGGGUAAGCUGAGAAGGCUUAUUACAAAGUACUCAAUCUUGAUAGUCCGAAAUGAAAUUGCAACUCUCUAAAUUGAGAGAUUUUUCAAUAAUUUAGGUUCAUCGUAAUGAAAUAGGUUCUGUCCCAAUUGAAUAGAACGGGCACAAAUGGUCAUUUGUCAUGAACAUGUUUUCAUUGCGCCAGAAGCAAUGCCAAUCUCUGGGGAAUAAGCAUCUCCUAGCUGACUAGUUCUAUGCCAGUAUAUAUUUUUUUCUUAAGGAAUGUUGCACAUUAGAUGAAGUCGAGGACGUACGUUCGACUUUGUCCCAUGUGUAACAGAUUCAAUUCUAUAAUAUAUUUAAAUGUCAACUGAAAGGGGUUUUUUUUUUCUUCCCAUAACACAAGCUCCAAAAACAGAAGGUGAUGAAAGGGUGAUCAUUAUAUCGCAUUCAUCGGCACAUUUUCUGGAAUUUUAAAAAGCUUCUGCUUGUUGAAUGAUUCCAUAGCCUUAAAGAGUCAACAAAAAUUCUUUCAUCAUUAGAAGAGUAACAAAAAUAUAGUGACUAGGCUCCUGUACAGCCUAUUCGUAUGCGGCUUGGCAGCUCGGCUUGACUCUUGUGAGUAUUUAAGAUUAAAUAUAAGUUUACGCAAAAUUUCCUUAUAAAAAAAAACAACUGGCUCUCAUUGACUUGCAUUAUAUUAACUAUUUUAUCUUAUAAUUAUUUUCGAGAUUACAAAUUUUGCAUGUUGGUACCAGGUUGCGAGAGACUUCACAAGUUUAUUUUAUUUUAAAGACAGGUAUUUAACUGACAGUCUCCUAUGAGCCUUUUAACUAAAGGUCGAAGAUGGGUUCGAUAGAAAUUCCACAAAAAACUUCCAAUGAAGAAGAAGAUAAUUUUUUGUUUGCCAUGCAAUUAGCACAAGUUUCAGUUCUACCUAUGGUUAUGCAAGGGGCAAUUGAGCUCGGUGUGUUUGAUAUCAUAGCUAAAGCAGGUCCAGGUGCCCAACUGUCACCAAAGAUCAUUGCAUCCCAUUUACCUACUCAAAAUCCAAAUGCUCACAGUAUGCUUGAUCGAAUCCUUCGCCUUCUUACCAGCUACGAUGUGCUCAUUUCGUCUGUUGUUACUAAUGACAAUGGUUUAGUUGAAAGAUUAUAUGGUUUGGCACCUGUUUGCAAAUAUUUUGUUCAGAAUGAAGAUGGAGUAUCACUGUUUCCAAUCAUGCUUUUGAUUCAGGAUAAGGUCUUUAUGGAUAGCUGGUAAGUUGGUAAUAGAUGAACUCAUCACCAAAUAAUUCAUGGCUCCAACUAUGUAUAAAUCUUCUAUUUAUGUUGUGUUAGGUGUCAUUUGAAAGAUGCAGUUCUUGAAGGAGGAAUUCCAUUCAACAAGGCCCAUGGCAUGCAGGUGUUCGAGUACCCUGGAUUAAACCCAAGAUUCAAUCAAGUCUUCAACAGAGCAAUGUUCGAUCACACGACAAUAGUAAUGAAAAAAAUACUAGAGACAUACAAAGGUUUUGAGAACCACAAAGAGAUUAUCGAUGUGGGCGGUGGGGUUGGAACCACAAUUAGCUUAAUCACUGCUAAAUAUCCUACAAUUAAGGGUAUUAACUUUGAUUUGCCACACGUCAUAGAACAUGCACCAUCUUAUCCUGGUAUUGUAUUUUUGUUCAAUUUAAUUUAUAUAUGGUUAACCAUGAACAUUUUUUUGGCAUGGUGCAAGUCAUGUAAUUCUGACAUGUUUUUCCCAGGAGUGGAACAUGUUGGUGGAGAUAUGUUUGAAAGUGUUCCCAACGCUGAAGCCAUUUUCAUGAAG